UGCAUAAUACAUGCAAGUCGAACGAGCAAUGCGAAAGUAGCAAUACUUUUGCAAAGCAAGUGGCGAACGGGUGAGUAACACGUGGAUAAUCUGCCUUGAAGACUGGGAUAACUCUUCGAAAGGAGGGCUAAUACCAGAUGUUCUAUAAUGUCCAUUGGAGAUUAUAGCAAAGGUAGCCGCAAGGCUUCCGCUUUAAGAUGAGUCCGCGUCCUAUUAGCUAGUUGGUAGGGCAAUGGCCUACCAAGGCUAUGAUGGGUAGCCGGCCUGAGAGGGUGACCGGCCACACUGGGACUGAGAUACGGCCCAGACUCCUACGGGAGGCAGCAGUAGGGAAUAUUGCGCAAUGGGCGAAAGCCUGACGCAGCGACACCGUGUGUAGGAUGAAGAUCUUCGGAUCGUAAACUAUUGUCAAUUGAAGACGAAGGCAGUAGAGUUAAGAGCUCGAAUGCUGACGGUAUUCAAUAAGGAAGUCUCGGCUAAACUCCGUGCC
rnacentral:rRNA from 1 species